AGAACGAACGCUGGCGGCAGGCUUAACACAUGCAAGUCGAACGGAUAUACGAUGGGGCUUGCUCUAUCGUGUGUUAGUGGCAAACGGGUGAGUAACACGUGGGAAUCUACCUUGUAGUACGGGAUAACUUACGGAAACGUAAGCUAAUACGGUAUACGCCCUCCGGGGGAAAGAUUUAUCGCUAUAAGAUGAGCCCGCGUCAGAUUAGCUAGUUGGUGGGGUAAUGGCCUACCAAGGCGAUGAUCUGUAGCUGGUCUGAGAGGAUGACCAGCCACACUGGGACUGAGACACGGCCCAGACUCCUACGGGAGGCAGCAGUGGGGAAUAUUGGACAAUGGGCGCAAGCCUGAUCCAGCCAUGCCGCGUGGGUGAUGAAGGCCUUCGGGUUGUAAGCCUUUCAGUGGGAAAGAUAAUGACGGUACCCACAGAAGAAGCUCCGGCUAACUCCGCGCCAGCAGCCGC
rnacentral:rRNA from 1 species